UGUUAGCCAGAGGAUUUCCAGGUGGAGACAGACUCAUCCUAUUUUGGCACAUGACAGGAUUUUUGUCGUGACUUUCCUAAAUUCUCACUGUGCCAAGCAAGCAAGAAAGUGCCCACAGGAGUGGGAGGGAAAAGACACAUGGGAUGGCAGCAAGGAAACCUGCCUAGAGGAGCCAGCCAUCCCGUCUGUCCCCUCACUUCCUUCCAGAGAGAACGUCUUUCCUUGACAGCGCCUGCCUCCUGUCAUUUCAUCCCAACACUUUGCCCAGCCCGGGAAAUCUGGAUUUUCUUUUUAAAGAAAGAUGUCUAGAGAGAAAAAUAGAAAAUGAACAGCCAAUAGAAAGUGCAACAGAGCUUGUUGAUUUGGUUCUGUCAGAUGCCCCAAGUGUUCGUGGAAGCAGCUAUACUAAGUGACAUUCAAACGUUGGUAAUGAGGAGACAUCUGCAUAUACACUGGUUUUGAAACAUCAA
rnacentral:lncRNA from 10 species